UGGCAAACUGGCGGCGUGCCUAAUAAUGCAAGUGCGACGCAAUUGAUUCACCGGAGCUUGCUCCACCGAAUUGAUUGAGUCGCGAACGGGUGAGUAACGCGUAGGUAACCUACCUCAUAGCGGGGGAUAACUAUUGGAAACGAUAGCUAAUACCGCAUAACAGUAUUUAUCGCAUGAUAGAUGCUUGAAAGGCGCAAUUGCGUCACUAUGAGAUGGACCUGCGUUGCAUUAGCUAGUUGGUGGGGUAACGGCUCACCAAGGCGACGAUGCAUAGCCGACCUGAGAGGGUGAUCGGCCACACUGGGACUGAGACACGGCCCAGACUCCUACGGGAGGCAGCAGUAGGGAAUCUUCGGCAAUGGGGGGAACCCUGACCGAGCAACGCCGCGUGAGUGAAGAAGGUUUUCGGAUCGUAAAGCUCUGUUGUAAGAGAAGAACAGGUGUGAGAGUGGAAAGUUCACACUAUGACGGUAUCUUACCAGAAAGGGACGGCUAACUACGUGCCAGCAGCCGCGGUAAU
rnacentral:rRNA from 1 species